AGUGAACGCUGGCGGUAGGCCUAACACAUGCAAGUCGAACGGCAGCACAGUAAGAGCUUGCUCUUACGGGUGGCGAGUGGCGGACGGGUGAGGAAUACAUCGGAAUCUACUUUUUCGUGGGGGAUAACGUAGGGAAACUUACGCUAAUACCGCAUACGACCUACGGGUGAAAGCAGGGGAUCUUCGGACCUUGCGCGAUUGAAUGAGCCGAUGUCGGAUUAGCUAGUUGGCGGGGUAAAGGCCCACCAAGGCGACGAUCCGUAGCUGGUCUGAGAGGAUGAUCAGCCACACUGGAACUGAGCCACGGUCCAGACUCCUACGGGAGGCAGCAGUGGGGAAUAUUGGACAAAGGGCGCAAGCCUGAUCCAGCCAUACCGCGUGGGUGAAGAAGGCCUUCGGGUUGUAGAGCCCUUUUGUUGGGAAAGAAAAGCAGCAGGUUAAUACCCCGCUGUUCUGACGGUACCCAAAGAAUAAGCACCGGCUAACUUCGUG
rnacentral:rRNA from 1 species